rnacentral:rRNA from 1 species
AGAGCGAACGCUGGCGGCAUGCUUAACACAUGCAAGUCGCACGGUCAGCAAUGGCAGUGGCGGACGGGUGAGUAACGCGUAGGAAUCUAUCCAGAGGUGGGGGACAACAGUGGGAAACUACUGCUAAUACCGCAUGUUACCUGAGGGUUAAAGGUUGAUCGCAAGAUGGAUCGCCUUUGGAGGAGCCUGCGUCUGAUUAGCUUGUUGGUGGGGUAAAGGCCUACCAAGGCGACGAUCAGUAGCUGGUCUGAGAGGAUGAUCAGCCACAUUGGGACUGAGACACGGCCCAAACUCCUACGGGAGGCAGCAGUGGGGAAUAUUGGACAAUGGGCGCAAGCCUGAUCCAGCAAUGCCGCGUGUGUGAAGAAGGUCUUCGGAUUGUAAAGCACUUUUUGGCAGGGACGAUGAUGACGGUACCUGCAGAAUAAGCCCCGGCUAACUCGUGCCAGCAGCCGCGGU